rnacentral:rRNA from 1 species
UACGUAGGGUGCAAGCGUUGUCCGGAAUUAUUGGGCGUAAAGAGCGUGUAGGCGGCCCGAUUAGUCCGCUGUGAAAGUCCAGGGCUCAACCCUGGAAUGCCGGUGGAUACUGUCGGGCUAGAGUCCGGAAGGGGCGAGUGGAAUUCCUGGUGUAGCGGUGAAAUGCGCAGAUAUCGGGAGGAACACCUGUGGCGAAAGCGGCUCACUGGACCAUAACUGACGCUGAUGCACGAAAGCUGGGGGAGCAAACAGG